GUGGGGUUUGACAGAUGAUCAGAUUAUGUUGAUGUUCAGAUUGGAUCCCUUAUGUAUGAAGUCAUCGGAGAAGAAAAUAAUGAGUGUGAUGGAUUUUUUGGUUAAUAAGAUGGGUUGGGAACCUGCAGCUAUUGGUAGAUAUCCAACAGUCUUUUUGCGCAGUCUUGAGAAGAAGAUCAUUCCAUGGUGUUCAGUGGUGAAAGUUCUUCAAAUGAAGGGGUUGGUGAAGAAGGAUCUGUGUGUGAGUUUUUUAGGCUCUGGUGAGAAGAAUUUCUUCAAUAGGUUUGUGGUGAAAUAUGAGCAAGAUGUUCCUGAGCUUUUAAAUGUAUAUCAAGGAAAAAUUGGUAUUUUGGAACUUGGCCUCAUACCUGAGAGGAUAUGGGAGAAGAAACAAUUGUAGCACCUCAACUUUAUAAUUCGAAGUAAAUAUGCCUUUUGUCAUUUUUCCUAUUUGAAACUUGGUUUGCAGGCAUGUUAACUUCUCUUUGCUCUGUUUUUAAGUUGAUAAUAUAAACACCCAUAUCUCUGAACUCAACUAUUUACUGAUAUUGACUGAUUUGUAAUGUUUCUGUUAGUGUUACUGGAAUUUUAUCAGUAUGAUGCAACAAGCAAGUUUCUACAAUGAUGUGGUUCUACUUUCCUAAUCUUCGUGUUAUGUUUUUAAUUGACAUUAUUGUGAAUGUGGCAAUGAGCUAAUUAUCCUCUUUUGUUGCAUAAAACAGGUUGUUUAUAGUUAGAGGUAUUUUAUGGGAUGAAUACCUCAGGUAGUUUCUACAAUGAUGCUUUCUAAUUAUCAUCAUUGUUGCACUUUACUCAGGAUUUUUCUUAGAAUUGCAUUACUUUGUUUCUAGGUAAUUGGGAGGUGGAGGUGGUUGAAAGAUGAGGUUCCGUUUAGAAAGCAUCCUUCACAUGCGAGUUAUUAAAUAAGAACAUUGUCACUGGGAUGGUUUUGGGGAAAAAAAAAAUGGUUGGUAAGCAACUGGCAUUUCUGGAGUUUCAAUGGUUCUAUUUCAGCAAUAGGAUGGCCUUGAGUUGCUCGAUUAUUAAAGUUCUGCUGUGGAAGGGCUUUGUAAUGAAAACUUCUUGCUUAACUGCUAUACUAAUACCUGCUAAGAAUUAAUUCUUGCUCAGUUUGUGUUCAAAUAUUAGGAGCAUAUUCAAGUGAUUGUUGAGUCGAUGUCUGUCACGGGAUAAUAGGUUUCUGGAUGGAAACAAAACAAGUGAUUCAAGGUCCUCUAUGUAUAAUUGGAGGAUUCUAUGGGGAUAUCAUCCCUUCAUCAUAGCUCGUAUCUUCUCCUGAUUUGGGUACCAAGUACUUUGAUUGAUUAUUGUCAGAAUUCCCUUUGUUUUUAUAUUUACAAGGCAUUGCCUUGUGAUAACAUUUUUCUUCUGUUCUGUUGUUCCAGAGCCUGUGUUUAUCCAAUGCCCCUUGUUCAGUUCCUUCUCACAUGGAAACUGCUGCAACACCUUGGAUCUUCCCUGAUGGUUCUUCCAAAGCAGAAUUCACGGAAUGCAACAUGUUGGGCCUUCUACAGUGUGACCCCGGGAACCAGGAAAGUUCUCAUUGCCACAGAAUAAUGCUUUAGGAUGGAUCGACGUUUCUGUUUGAUGAGGAAUAUGAGGCACCUAACACCCAUAGGCAGAUGUUCAUCCUUUUCUAAUCGGAGAUAGUCUGCAAAUGUAUUUCUACAGAGGCAGGCAAAGCCCUUUGAACCCCAAGUUCUUACUUUGCCUGGAGGCCUUAAAAUAAGAGCGGUGUUGGGGUCUCUUGCUUAAAGUGGUUCUUCCUCAAGCAUUAUUAUAAUACCAUAACUGUUGGGUCCUGGAACUCUUUUGCUUUGCUUGUUUGUUUCAGUUCUUCUGUUCUUUUGAUGCCUGGUUCCUUUGGAAUCAAAUGGAGUCAUUCCUUUCCUUGGAUUCAAUGGUUCACUUGAAAUUUUAGAGCAAAGAAUGCAUGGUUCCACACAUUUUUGUAGGAAAAUCAUUCCCCUAAAUUUUUUACACUUACAUGUUGGUAUCUUCUCAUAAGAGAACAUAUUGCAUAUUUCAAUAUAGUAUCUAUGCCCUAAAAAAAAGUUCAUAUUACUUGUAUUAUAUUCAACUCUUUCUAAUUUAUAAAAAAUAUUAAGUUUUAGAAAAUUAAACUAUUAUAAAUUUUAUUUCGCUUCAAAUUUUUAUUUUAUGAUUGGAUGUAUUAAAAAAAUUAAAGGUAAGUUAUUCAAUUUAAAAGUAAAAAUAAAUCUAGCAAAUUGAAAAAUAAAACAUAGAAUUAUCCGUUUAACUAAACUUUAAAAGAAAAAAUAAUAAUAUUUUAAAUUUGCUUUUUAGAAAUAAAAAUAUUUUAUCAUAACUCUUAAAUAUUUUUUUAUACAUAAAAUACCCAAAAUACCCUCACCAUGCUCAUAUUCAAAACCCUAAUUCUAUUUCUUUAUUUUUCCUUCAAAAUCUUAUUUUAUUUUGUAUUUUUAUUUAAAUUAGGGUACAGAAAACACUUUUCCCCUUCUUUUUUCACUAGAAAGUGCAACAUUUGCUGGAGAGAUGAGGUUUUCUGGGCCCUGUUUGUUUAGGUAAAAAAUGGUUCGAGGAAACAUCUUUUGGCAUGGUGGUACAUUUCCAAAUCUAUCUAGCUGCUUCUGAUUUGUCCAUUGUUCGCUGCCUUGGUCAUUGCUUUUCUGCAACGGGUGCUGGAAAUGAGGGCCGAGCGAGUUUCGGAGCUUUACGAUCUUCAAAAUUGGUGAGAGACUCGAACAUUAUCUAGAAAUGAGUACUUGUUUCCUCUGUAGAAGAGUAGUGUCACUCACAAAUGUAGGGCAAAUGUUUGAAAUUUCAAGGACCCGAGUGCAUUUUCUUCAAAAUACCCAACUUCUUAUGCUUAGAUCUUUCUCUUCGCCCAAACAACACUCUUUCACAGUGUCUUACCUCAUGAACUCAUGUGGGUUGUCCCCAGAAACUGCUCUAUCUGCAUCACGGAAGAUACAGUUUGAAACCCCAGAAAGAGCAGACUCCGUCCUCGCACUGCUUAGAAAUUAUGGAUGCACCAAUAGCCAUAUCUCCAAAAUUGUAAGCCGGUAUCCGCUCCUGCUCACUGCCAAUCCUGAGAAGACCCUUUUGCCCAAACUGGAGUUUUUCUGUUCUGUAGGCUUUUCAGGGCCUGACCUUGCCAGUAUUGUCGUUGCUGGCCCACAGAUCUUGAAAAGGAGCUUGGAAAAUCAUGUUAUUCCUAGUUAUAAUUUCCUCAAGAGUGUACUUAUGGUCAACGAAAAUAUUGUGAGGGCCCUCAAUAAGUCAUACUGGCUUCAUGGUCAAAGCCUGCAAAACAUCAUGGCUCCAAAUAUUGCAAUUCUGAAAGAAAUUGGAGUUCCCAUGUCAAAUAUUUCAUUUUUGGUAACAUGUCACCCUGGCGCAGUGUCCCAAAACAAGGAAAAGUUUAGUAGAAGUGUCAAGAUGGUUAUUGAAAUGGGAUUUGAUCCUUUGAGAGUUCCAUUUGUGAAAGCUGUUCAAGUGAUCAUGGAAAUGGGUGAAUCAAUGUGGGAGCAUAAAAUGGAGGUUUAUAGGCGGUGGGGUUUGACAGAUGAUGAGAUUAUGUUGAUGUUCCGAUUGGAUCCCUUAUGUAUGAAGUCAUCGGAGAAGAAAAUAAUGAGUGUGAUGGAUUUUCUGGUUAAUAAGAUGGGUUGGAAACCUGCUGCUAUUGCUAGAUAUCCAACAGUCUUUUUGCGCAGUCUUGAGAAGAGGAUUAUUCCAUGGUGUUCAGUAGUGAAAGUUCUUCAAAUGAAGGGGUUGGUGAAGAAGGAUCUGUGUUUGAGUUUUUUAGGCUCCAAUGAGAAGAAUUUGUUCAAUAGGUUCAUGGUGAAAUAUGAGCAUGAUGUUCCUGAGCUUUUAAAUGUAUAUCAAGGAAAAAUUGGUAUUUUGGAACUUGGCUUCGUGUCUGAGGGGAUAAUGUAGGAUGAAACAGUUGUAGUUUCUCAACUUAACAAUUCCAAAUAAUUAUCCUUUCUGUCGUUUUUAUUAUUUGAGACUUGGUUUGAAGUCAUGCUAACUUCUCUUUUGCACUGUUUUUGACUUUGAUUGCUUUUGACCUUGUUUAAGAUGUAAUAUAGGAUGUCUUAAAAGUUCAUGGACACAUAUACAUUCUGGGGUGAAAAAAAAAAUGUAUAGAGGAUAACAACUAAUUAUUUUGUAUAGAUAGCCCUUGUAGACCAAAAUCCCCAUAAUAUGGUUCAUGGAGUGCUUCAGUUUAUCUACAAUCCCUUUUUUCUACAUGGGAAGUAAAUCAAAGAAGGGUCUAAAACUAUACUUUUUUUUGGCCUAACAAUAUUUGGAAUGUUGUAAAUUACUGAAGUAUUAUGAACUUGGCAUCAUUUUCCCCCUUACAUUAUAUUUGCAGUGAACUAGUGACCUGAUUUUCUACAUUAACUGAACUGAAAUUGAGUUCCUGUUGGGGGUUGUAGGAGCAUAGCUUUUAGCUUUGUUUUAAUUAGAAGGACAGCUCCAGAACAUGUGAAAUAUCCCAACUCCAAGUUGUGGGCAGUGCUAAGAUCUCCCUUUAUGGUUUAUCCUCAUGUUUUGGUCAAGAAAUAUGGCUUCCUCUGCAAAACACUUCAAUUACUACAAAUGAGAAGAAGCACCAAGGGAUUAAAUCCACCACUAAACUCUUUUUUCUUUUUUCUUUUUUAUAGGUCUAAAUCCACCAUGAACUCUGCUUUUUUUAAACCAUGUAAGUUUUCAAAUCUUUCUGAUAAUCGCCAAAUUAGGCAUCGUUCAAAGUAGCAAAAGAUGAACAAUAAUUUGUUUGGUUUUUCCCUUUCCAUCCCAUUUUUCUUUCCACCCAGAUCUCCAUAAUUUGGUUUUUCUAGUUGUUAUAGGUCCUUGAUUAAAAAUAGACAGGCAAGAAAUCUGGAUUGAUUUGCGUGUUGAACUUAUGGAAAUGAUGGUUGUGUUGUAACGUUUCUCUUACAUGUGAAAAUGAUGGUAAUUUUACAUUUCUCUUGCAUGUCUUCCCUUCUACAUUCUCCCUUUCAUUGUGGUCAAAGUUAGUACUGGGGAUACCCAAAGUUUCUUUUGAAAUGCCAAGUUUUGGGUUUUUAGUUCAAUAAAAGAGAAAUACAAAUGGGCAAGGAGAUCUCCAAAAGAUCAAGAAGGUAUAUAGAUAUUAAUUAUGUUGUAAAAAUAUCAAGAGAGCAUGUCGAGAUAGUUGCUGUAAUUCUAGCAGCAACUAGUUCAGACUUCAGAGUAAUUUCCUAAAUAAUGCCCCAUAAAACUAAAAGUUAAACAUGGUUGAGUGAUCUCAUCAUCAGAAACAACUUUUGUCUUGAAUUAUUCAUCUUUUGCAUGGCUCCUGGGGGAUCUGCUAGGUGCCUUCUUCACAUCCUCCUUCCCUGAUACUGAUAGUAGCGUUACUAGUGAGAUGAUCAAUUUACCAAAUCUUAAGCCUAUAUAUGAAAAAAAGAAGGUUGGUAGGCAGCUUGCAUUUCUGGAGUUUCAAUGGUUCUAUUUUUGGAAUAGGACCGUCUUGAGUUGUUCAAUUGUUAAAUAUCUGCUGUGGAAAGGCUUUGUAAUGAAAAAUUCUCGCUUAACUUAUAUAUUGAUAUCUGCUGAGAAUUAAUUCUUGCUUAGUUUGUGUUCAAAUGUCAGUAACAUGUUCAUCAAUUGUUCAAUUGUUCAAUGUCUGUCAGGGGAUAAUAGGUAUCUGGAUGGAAAGAACAGAAGUAAUUCAAGGUUCUCUAUAAGCUAAGAAAGGUACUGUAAGAUCAAAGGUUCUAUGGGGGCAUCAUCCUCCCAUCAUUGCUUUUACCUCGAAUUGGGUACCAAGUACUUGAUUGAUUAUUGUUGUGAUUCCCUUUAUUUUUAUUUUGCAAGGCAUUGCCUCAUUGGUUUUGCCUUGUCGUAACAUUUUCUUUUCAAGCCUGAUGCUCCAUAAUUCUGCUCUGCUGUUAUUCCAAGGCCUCUGUUCAUCCAAUGCCCCUUCAGUUCCUUCUCACAUGGAAACUUCUCAAGACCUUGGAUCUUCCCUGACAGUUCUUUCAAAGCAGAACGUGCCGUAUGCAACAUGUUGGGCCUUCUACUGAGUGACCCUGGGAAACUCCCGUUUGCCACAGAGCUUUGGUAUGAAUUGGAUGUUUCUAUUUGAUAAGGAAUACAAGGCAGCUAACCCAUUGGCAGACUUUGGAUUUUCUUUUCUAAUCUGUAAUAGUUGUUGGCUAAUGUAUUUCUACAGAGGCAGGCAACCCCACUGAGCCCCAAGUUCUAGCUUGCCUAGAGGUCUUAAAAUAAGAGUGGCGUUGGGGUCUCUUGCCUACAAAUUGCAGAAAAUGUGGUGGUUCUUCCUCAAGCAUUAUCAUUCGGGUUGGUCUAUGGUACCGAAUUUAGGGCGCUACCUUAGAAUUUUCCAUAUCAUAUUCAGACUUUAAAGCCUCUUGUCACAAGACUCACAACCAGCAAAGAAAUUAGGGUCAUGGGACUAGACGAUAACCAAUCUUUAUAAUCUAUAGGUAGAUUGAAGGGCAGAAAAUUCAUUUCUCUAUCAUAUGUAUGGAAAUUUAACUAUCAAGAUAAGUUGGUUUCUUUGCCAUUUGAUAAAUUGUGUAGUUUCAUCGCAUCUAAUUUGUGAUGUCCCACAUCGGAUAGGGGAGGAAGUUCCUGGCGCUAUAUAUGUAGAGGCUCUUCUUAACCAAGUAGACGCGUUUUAAAGCCGUGAGGGCCCUCCUUGGGCCCAAAGCGGACAAUAUCUACAUGGUUGGGUGCGGGUCGUUACAAAUGGUAUCAGAGCCGAUCCCCAACCCCGGUGUGGGGGUUUGUUUGGCUCCGUAAGGGGUGUUUGUCUGUUUGGCCCCACAAUCCCAUGGGACACAACGAGGACGUUGUGUCUGCAUGGGGGGGUGUUUGUGAUGUCCCACAUCGGAUAGGGGAGCAAGUUCCUGGCGCUAUAUAUGUAGAGACUCCUCUUAAUCAAGUAGACGUCUUUUAAAGCCGUGAGGGCCCCCUUGGGCCCAAAGCGGACAAUAUCUACAUGGUUGGGAGCGGGUCAUUACAUAAUUUGUACAUGAAAAGCAGUUCCAAAACUUUUUUCAAAGAAAAGACAUGAGGAAUGGGAAAAGAACUUCGAAGUUUUUAAGAAAAGUGAAUAAUUACAAUUAAAAGGGAUGAAAUAAUUCUCAAAUUUGUAAAUCUCAUUUCAUACCUAAUUUUUUAAAAACCUUCUUAAAAGUAUUUUGGGCAUUUACGAUCGAUAAAAUGGGCUCAUAUUCUCUAGAACAAUAUACAAACUUUCGUUACCACAUCCAACCAGAUAUGCAAAGUUUGUCCACUUAGAGAGGCUUAGAGCCAUUAUCAACCCCAUCUUUCCAUCAAAUAGAAUUGUCCCUAAAAGUAAGAAAGAAAGAACACUACUCUUUAUAAAAUCGUGUUAGAAUUUCUCUCCUUUUAAAACUAUGUAUGUAUAAAGGUUUUUCUCUAUGGGUUUUUUUCUUUGGAGAAUAUACAGAAAGAAGUUAUAGUAUUUCUCUCACAUUUCAAAACCAGGAAUGCAUGGAAAAGGGUUUUUUCUAUACGGGGCUUUCCAUGUUUGGAGAACGAGACAGAGAGAGGAGAGUCCAUAUGAAGUCUACUUGCUAGUUGCUGCCACGCAAAAGGUAUUUUAUAAUUUGAGUUCGAAUAAUUUAGUUCUUUUUUUAUUUUGUAUUUUUAAUUAAAUUAUGGCACAGAAAACAUUUUUUCCGUUUAGUAUAAAUGCAAUAAUAUUUGCUGGAGGAAAGAUAGAUUUUCCGGGCUCUGUUUGUGUAGAUAGAAAAUGGUUUGGGGAAACAUCUUUGGGCAUGGCGGUACAUUUCCAAUUCUGCCUAGCUGCUUCUGAUUUGUCGAUUGUUUGCUGCCUUGGCCAUUGCUUUUCUACUACAAAUUAGGGCUGAUCGAGCUUCGGAGCUUUACGAUCUUCAAAACUGGUGAGAGACACGAACAUUCUCUAGAAAUGAGUACUAGUUUCCUCUGUAGAAGAGUAGUGUCACUCACAAAUGUGGGCCAAAUGUUUGAAAUUUCAAGGACCCCGGUGCAUUUUCUUCAAAAUUCCCAACUUCUUAUGUUUAGAUCUUUCUUUUCGCCCAAACAACAUUCUUUCACAGUGUCUUACCUCAUGAACUCAUGUGGGUUGUCCCCAGAAAGUGCUUUAUCUGCGUCACGGAAGAUACAGUUUGAAACCCCAGAAAGAGCAGACUCCGUCCUCGCACUCCUUAGAAAUUAUGGAUGCACCAAUACCCAUAUCUCCAAAAUUGUUAGCAAAUAUCCGCUCCUGCUCACUGCCAAUCCUGAGAAGACCCUUUUGCCCAAACUAGAGUUUUUCCGUUCUGUAGGCUUUUCGGGGCCUGAUCUUGCCGGUAUUAUCGUUGCAAAGCCAAGUAUCUUGAAAAGGAGCUUGGAAAAUCAUGUUAUUCCUAAUUACAAUUUCCUCAAGAGCGUAGGUAUGAUCAAUGAAAAUAUUGCGAGGGCCCUCAGGAGGACUUACUGGCUUACUGGUCAAAGCGUGCAAAACACCAAUGUUCCAAAUAUUGCAACUCUGAAAGAAAUUGGAGUUCCCAUGUCAAAUAUUUCGUUUUUUCUGACAUGUCACCCUAGUGCAGUGUCCCAAAACAAGGAAAAGUUUAGUACAAAUGUCAAGAAGGUUAUUGAAAUGGGAUUUGACCCUUUGAGAGUUACAUUUCUGAAAGCAGUUCGCUUGAUCUGUGGAAUGGGUGAAUCAAUGUGGGAGCAUAAAAUGGAGGUUUAUAGGCGGUGGGGUUUUACAGAUGAUGAGAUUAUGUUGAUGAUCAGAUUGGAUCCCUUAUGUAUGACAUCAUCUGAGAGGAAAAUAAUGAGUGUGAUGGAUUUUUUAGUUAAUAAGAUGGGUUGGGAACCUGCAGCUAUUGGUAGAUAUCCAACAGUGUUUUUGCGCAGUCUUGAGAAGAAGAUCAUUCCAUGGUGUUCAGUAGUGAAAGUUCUUCAAAUAAAGGGGUUGGUGAAGAAGGAUCUGAGUUUGAGUUUUUUAGGCUCCAGUAAGAAGAAUUUCUUCAAUAGGUUUGUGGUGAAAUAUGAGCAUGAUGUUCCUGAGCUUUUAAAUGUAUAUCAAGGAAAAAUUGGCAUUUUGGAACUUGGCUUCAUAUCUGAGGGGAUAAUGCGGGAUGAAACAGUUGUAGUAUCUCAACUUAACAAUUCCAAGUAAUUAUCCUUUUUGCCGUUUUUUAUUUUUUGAAACUUGGUUUGAAGGCAUGUUGACUUCUCUUUUGCACUUUUUUUAACUUUGAUUGCUUUUCACCUUGUUUUAGAUGUGUAAUAUAGGAUGCCUUAAAAGUUCAUAGAUACAUAUACAUGCUGGGGUGAAAAAAGAAUUUAUGGAGGAUAACAACUGAUUAUUUUGUAAUGAUAGUCUUUGUAGGCCAAAAUUCCCAAAAUUUGGUUUGUGGGGUGCUUCAGUUUAUCUACAAUCCCUUUUUCCUACAUGGGAAGUAAAUCAAAGAAGGGGUCUAAAACCAUACUUUGCUUUUGGCCAAACGAUAUUUGGAAUGUUAGAAAUUACCGAAGUGUUAUGAACUUGGCAUGGUUUUCUCCCUUUCAUCAUAUUUGCAGUGAAUUAAUUACCUGGUUUUCUGAAGUGGAGUCAAGUUCCUGUUGGGGGUUAUAGGGGCAUAGCUUUUAGGUUUGUUUUAUUUAAAAGGACAGCUCCAGAACAUGUGAAAUAUCCCAACUCCAAGUUGUGGGUGGUGCUAAGACCUCCCUGUAUUGUUUAUCCUCAUGUUUUUGUGAAGAAAUAUGGCUCCCUCUGCAAAACACUUCAAUUACUGCAAAUGAGGAGAAGCACCAAGGAAUUAAUCCACCACUGAACUCUGCUUUCUUUAAACCAUGUAAGCUUUCAAAUCUUUCUGAUGAUCACCAAAUUAGGCAUGGUUCAAAGUAGUAAAAGAUGAACAAUAAUGAUGGUAAUUUUACUCAGGAUUUGACAUAUAGAACAUUAUUUUUUAGAAUUGCAUUACUUUGUUUCUAGGCAUUGGUUGGUUUUUCCCGUCCCAUCCCAUUUUUCUUUCCACCCAGAUCUUUAUAAUUUGGUUUUUCUAAUUGUUGUAGGUCCUUGAUGAAAAACAGACAGGCAAGAAAUCUGGCUUGUCUUAUGUGUUGAACUUACGAAAGUGAUGGUUGUAUUGUAACAUUUCUCUUUCAUAUGAAAAUGGUAGUAAUCAUACAUUUCUCUUACAUGUUCUCCCUUUCAUUGUGGUCAAAGUUAGAGCUGGGGAUACCCAAAGUUUCUUUUGAAAUGACUUAAGUUUUGGAUUUUUAGUGCAAAAAAAAAUAAAAAAAAGAGAAAUACAAACGUGCAACGAGAUCUCCUCCACAAAAUCAAGAAAGCAUAUAGAUAUUAAUUACGUUGUAAAAAAAUCAAGAGGGCAUAUCAAGAUAAUUGCUGUAAUUCUAGCAGCAACUAAUUCAGACUUCAGAGUAAUUUCUUAAAUAAUGCCACAUAAAACUAAAAGUUCAACAUGGUUGGUUGAUCUCUUCAUCAGAAACAACUUUUGUCUUGAAUUAUUCAUCUUUUGCAUGUCUCUUAGGGCAUCUGCUAGGUGUCUUCUUCACACCCGCCCUCCCUGAUUGUAGUGUCUGAUCACUUUACCAAAUCUUAAGCCUUUAUUUGAAUUAAAAAAAGAAAAAAAAGGUUGGUAGGCAGCUGGCAUUUUAGGAGUUGCAAUGGUUCUAUUUUUGGAACAGGACCGUCUUGAGUUGUUCAAUUGUUAAAUAUAUGCUGUGAAAGUGCAUUGUAAUGAAAAACUCUUGCUUAACUGCUAUACUAAUAUCUGUUGAGAAUUAAUUCUUGCUUAGUUUGUGUUCAAAUGUCAGUAACAUUUUCCUCAAUUGUUUAAUUGUUCAUUGUCUGUCAGGGGAUAGCAAGCAUCUGGAUGGAAAGAACAGAAGUAAUUCAAGGUUCUCUAUAAGCUGAGAAAAAUCAAAGGAUUCUUUGGGGGCAUCAUCCUCCCAUCAUUGCUUUUACCCCAAAUUGGGUACCAAGCACUUGAUUAUUGUUGCGAUUCCCUUUACUUUUAUUUUGCAAGGCAUUGCCUCAUUGGUUUUGCCUUGUCAUAACAUUUUUCUUUUCAAGCCUGAUGCUACAUAAUUCUGUUCUGCUGUUGUGCCAGGACCUCCGUUCAUCCAGUGCUCCUUGUUCAGCUCGUUCUCAAAUGGAAACUGCUGCAAAACCUUGGAUCUUUCCUGACAGUUCUUCCAAAGCAGAAUGUGCAGUAUGCAACAUGUUGGGCCUUCUACUGAAUGACCCAGUAAAGUCCCAAUCGCCACAUAGCGUUGCUUUGGUAUGGAUUGGAUGUUUCUAUUUAAUGAGGAAUAUAAGGCAGCCAACCCAUAGGCAGACUUUGGAUUUUCUCUUCUAAUCUGUGAUAGUUGUUGGCUAAUGUAUUUCUACAGAAGCAGGCAACCCCAUUAAAGCCCAAGUUCUAGCUUGCCUAGAAGCCUUAAAAUAAGAGUGAUGUUGGGGUCUCUUGCUUACGGAUUAAUGAGGGGGUUCUUCCUCAAGCAUUAUCAUAAAUCUUGAAACUGUUGGGUCUUGGAACAUUUUUUUGCUUUGCUUGUUUGUUUCUUGUGUUCUUCUGAUGCAUGAUUCCAAAAAGGGAGUCAUUCCUUCCUUGGAUUCAAUGAUUUACUUGAAAUUUUAGAAUCAAAGAAUGCAUGGUUCUACCUUUUUUUUUUUUUUUCUUUUUUGUUGGAAAGUCAUUCCCGAAUGAUAUGACUUUCCUAUUUAAAGGGUGUUUGGCACAUGAGAAUAGGAAUAGAAAUAAUAUAGGAAUGGAGCUGAAUUAUACUACCUUGUAGAAGAGAAGAAUCAUAUCUGUAAUGUGAAUGAGAAUUGGUUUCAAGAACAAUGAGUUUUUUUAUUGAUAUUUUAAUUUUAAAAAACAAUACAAGUAUAUUAAUAAGGACCUUUUGGUUUGUUUUUUGAAAAUUGUUUUUAAGUUAAAAGAAUAUAAAAUAGCUUUUUAGUAUUUUAUAAAGAUAAAGGUUGUUUGGCAUGUUGUUUUAAAGAAAAAAAUAAAAAAUAAAAAACUUGUUUGGAUAAGUAUUUUUUAAAAUAAAUUUUUUAUUUUAAUUUUGUAAAAACAAUGAAUAUUGGAUUAAUUGUAUAUUAAUUUUUAUUCAAAAAUAUAUGAUAUUAAUUGGUUAUUUUUUGAGUUUUAAGUUAUUUUAAAAAUUAUUAAACCUGUCAACCAAUCUAAUGCAUUUAUUUUGAAGUAAAAAAUUUUACAAAAAUAUGAUUAUAUGCCAUGAAGAAAUUAACCAAAUUAUUUAAAAUAAAUUUUGGUUUAUUGAGUUUCACUUUUCCCGUUACUUUUUUCACUAGAAAGUGCAAUGUUUGCUGGAGAGAUGAGAUUUUCUGGGCUCUGCUUGUUUAGAUAGAAAAUGGAUUGAGGAAAUUUUUUUGGGCAUGGUGGUAUAUUUCCAUAUCUAACUAGCUGCUUCUGAUUUGUCGAUUGUUCGCUGCCUUGGCCAUUGUUUUUCUGCAACGGAUGCUACAAAUUAGGGCUGGGCGAGAUUCGGCGCUUUACGAUCUUCAAAAUUGGUGAGAGACACGAGCGUUCUCUAGAAAUGGGUACUAGUUUCCUCUGUAGAAGAGUAGUGUCACUCGCAAAUGUGGCGCAAGUGUUUGAAAUUUCAAGGGCCCCGGUGCAUUUUCUUCAAAAUAGGCAACUUCUUAUGUUUAGAUCUUUCUCUUCGCCCAAACAACACUCUUUCACGGUGUCUUACCUCAUGAACUCAUGUGGAUUGUCCCCAGAAAGUGCUCUGUCUGCAUCACGGAAGGUACAGUUUGAAACCCCAGAGAGAGCAGACUCCGUCCUCGCACUCCUUAGGAAUUAUGGAUGCACCAAUACCCAUAUCUCCAAAAUUGUAAGCAGGUAUCCGGUCCUGCUCACUGCCAAUCCUGAGAAGACCCUUUUGCCCAAACUGGAGUUUUUCCGUUCUGUAGGCUUUUCAGGGCCUGACCUUGCCAGCAUUGUCGCUGCUAGCCCACAGAUCUUGAGAAGGAGCUUGGAAAAUCAUGUUAUUCCUAGUUAUAAUUUCCUCAAGAGUGUAGUUAUAGUCAAUGAAAAAAUUGUGAGGGCCCUCAGUAAGUCAUACUGGCUUAAUGGUCAAACCUUGCAAAACACCAUUGCUCCAAAUAUUGAAAUUCUGAAAGAAAUUGGAGUUCCCAUAUCAAAGAUUUCGUUUUUUGUGACAUGUCACCCUAGUGCAGUGUCCCAAAACAAGAAAAAGUUUAGUAGAAUUGUCAAGAUGGUUACUGAAAUGGGAUUUGAUCCUUUGAGAGUUAAGUUUGUGAAAGCAGUAAAAGUGAUCUGUGAAAUGGGUGAAUCAAUGUGGGAGCAUAAAAUGGAGGUUUAUAGGGGGUGGGGUUUGACAGAUGAUGAUAUUAUGUUGAUGUUCAAGUCAGAUCCCUUAUGCAUGGCAGCAUCUGAGAGGAAAAUAAUGAGUGUGAUGGAUUUUUUGGUUAAUAAGAUGGGUUGGGAACAUGCAGCUGUUGUUAGGUAUCCAACAGUCUUUUUGUGCAGUUUGGAGAAGAAGAUCAUUCCAUGGUGUUCAGUGGUGAAAGUUAUUCAAAUGAAGGGGUUGGUGAAGAAGG
rnacentral:lncRNA from 1 species